rnacentral:rRNA from 1 species
CAAUAGCGUAUACUAAAGUUGUUGCGAUUAAAAAGCUCGUAGUUGGAUCUCAGGCAUGGGCGCACGGUCCGCCUCGCGGCGGUCACUGAGUGUUUUGUUUCCCAUCCUACGCUUCCCGGUUAUCAGCCCAUGGUGCUCUUCACUGAGCGUUUUGGGUGGCCGGAACGUUUACUUUGAAGAAAUUAGAGUGUUCAAAGCAGGCACGUCGCCUGAAUAAUGGUGCAUGGAAUAAUGGAAUAGGACCUCGGUUCUAUUUUGCUGGUUUUCGGAACACGAGGUAAUGAUUAAGAGGGACAGACGGGGGCAUCCGUAUUGCGGUGUUAGAGGUGAAAUUCUUGGAUCAUCGCAAGACGAACAACUGCGAAAGCAUUUGCCAAGCAUGUUUUCAUUAG